UAGCUGCUAGUAAAUCCGUGUGUAUGGA
rnacentral:sRNA from 1 species